UUUAUAACAACUUUAAAAAUAUAUAUAAAACUCUGUAUCUUGUACAGGGACAAGUCCGGUGUUCUGUAAGAAUCGCUUUAAGGGACAUUAUAGGCAACCAGACCACUAAAGCUCAUUGCAGCUCUAAGUCUGCCCUUGGUGGCUGUCUUCCACUGGGGGCACUUCCGGAAUCGUAACGGACUUUUGGUCCGUUAUCUGACACUGGACGUCAUCACACUCUGCAUUUGCCGCGCAUGUGUAUUAGACCCCGCUCGUCGCGGGAUGGAGAAGGGGGUGGAGCUUCGACCCAGCGCCAAGGGACAUCGGCGCUGGGAUAAGGUAAGUAAGUAAAUAAAGGGUUUUUAACCCUUUAUUUACUGGGGAGGAGGGUGCGAGGGAGGGGGGAGGCAGACUGAUCGGUAGUGCCAGGAAAACAGCUUUAUAUUCCUGGCACUACAGUAUCUCUUUAAGAUAGGAAAUACAAACUUCUCUAUUCAAUCUGUUGCAGGGGAAGCAGCCACUUCAGGUUGUUAAAUGGUUACUCCAAGAACUAUAACCACUUCAGUGCCUUGAAGUGGACCAAGGAGAUAUUUAAUGUUGUUCUAGUUGUGUAACUCCACCUCCAGCAGCCUUUAUUAGCCAACCUGGAAUGAGCGUUCCGGGAUGGCCAAUUUUAAUUCUGUGCAUAUUCUAUGUACUGUCUCUCAUUAAUUGGCUUAGAGACCUCAAAUGAAACUGUCUGCCAAUGAAUGAGCGGUAGGAUUGCCAACCAGUUAUGGAUAGUUGGAGAUCUUUCAGCUUCCAUUCAUUGUGGCUCUGUGCACGGCUGGACCCCAGGGUAUUUCUGGCAUCAUAACCACCACUGCAGGCUGUAUUAUGGUAACUUGUACAAAGUUUUCAGGGUGUAAAAUAACAGUAAACAUUCCGAGACAGAAGCAAUGUAUCAAAUAGGGCGGUGGUCCUGCUGCAGCGUAGAGGCCAUUCUCCAGUAAACAGGAGCCCUAAUUAAUUGCACUGAAUAAUUGGUUUAAUUCUUGGCAUAUCAAAAACCUCUGACUAUUCCAAUUCUGAGCUGCUCAGGGAUACGGCUAUAAUGCGUGCAGGAGACAGACUGCAAUCCCAACUGGCGCCAUUGCGGGCACUAUAGUUCCCCUAAAUGUAUUCUUAGUGAACACCCUGACAUAUUUUUAGCAAGACUAGGCACUGAUUCAUCCCAUAGAAAUACAUGUUUAAAAUGAAGAAAAUAGAUUUUAAUUUUUUUUUAUUUAGGGAGGAAAAAUAUCGAGUUCUUUGUUUUUUCUUUAAGGCUUGCACUCCUGUGAUAUAUGUAAAUCUUGUAAAUAGUAAUUUUUCUAAGCUGUUUUGAAAUGUACAGAACCUGAUUUUCUGCGAAAUGCAAUAAAUGUGUUUCAGAUAUUUAAA